AGAAAAGUUUCCGGAUGACCUGAGGGUAGGGGUGAAAGGCCAAUCAAACUGGGAAAUAGCUCGUACUCCCCGAAAUGUUUUUAGGAACAGCGUGGCGCUUAGUUCCAUGGAGGUAGAGCUACCGAUUGGGUGCGGGGGAGUCACAUCCUACCAAAUCCAGACGAACUCCGAAUGCCGCGGGAUAUGCGCCGCAGUGAGGCUUUGGGUGCUAAGGUCCAAGGCCGAGAGGGAAAGAACCCAGACCAUCAGCUAAGGUCCCAAAAUACACGCUAAGUUGGACUAACGAGGUCCGGCUGCACAGACAGCUAGGAUGUUGGCUUGGAAGCAGCCAUCCAUUUAAAGAGUGCGUAACAGCUCACUAGUCGAGCGGCCGGGCGUGGAUAAUGAACGGGCAUCAAGCGUGUUACCGAAGCUAUGGGGUAAUUAAUUACCGGUAGGGGAGCAUUCCAGCGGGGGCGAAUCCCCAGCGUGAGCUGGGGUGGACUUUCUGGAAAAGCAAAUGUAGGCAUAAGUAACGAUAAGGGGGGUGGGAAACCCCCCCACCGAAAGACCAAGGUUUCCUGAUCAACGCUAAUCGGAUCAGGGUCAGUCGGGGCCUAAGGAUAAGCCGAAGGGCGAUUCCGAUGGACAACGGGUUAAUAUUCCCGUACUUUUGAUGGUUGCGACGCGGGGACGGAGAAGUGACACCACCGCGCACUGACGGAAUAGUGCGUUGAAGGGCGUAGGUAUAGGACCGGUAGGCAAAUCCGCCGGUUUUGCUGAAACCCGAUAGUACGGCAAAGCUUCGGCGGCGCCGAUAGUGUGGGUAAUCCUGCUUCCGAGAAAAACCGCUAAGCUUCAGGCCAUCAAAACCCGUACCGCAAACCGACACAGGUGGUUGGGGUGAGAAUCCUAAGGUGCUCGAGUGAAUCAUGGCUAAGGAACUCGGCAAAAUGGCCCUGUAACUUCGGGAGAAGGGGCGCUGCCAGCAAUGGUAGCCGCAGUGAAAAGGCCCAGGCGACUGUUUAACAAAAACACAUGGCUUUGCGAAAUCGAAAGAUGAGGUAUAAGGCCUGACACCUGCCCGGUGCUGGAAGGUUAAGAGGGGAUGUCAGCCCGCAAGGGCGAAGCAUUGAAUCGAAGCCCCAGUAAACGGCGGCCGUAACUAUAACGGUCCUAAGGUAGCGAAAUUCCUUGUCGGGUAAGUUCCGACCUGCACGAAUGGUGUAACGAUCUGGGCGCUGUCUCGGCCAUGAGCUCGGUGAAAUUGUGGUAUCGGUGAAGACGCCGGUUACCCGCAACGGGACGGAAAGACCCCAUGAACCUUCACUAUAGCUUAACAUUGUGACUGGGUGCGUGAU
rnacentral:rRNA from 1 species